CAGUGUGUCUAGUCCAGGUGGGUCUAGUCCAGGUGGGUCUAGUCCAGGUGGGUCUAGUCCAGGUGUGUCUCUGUGUUACAGUGUGUCUAGUCCAGGUGUGUCUAGUCCAGGUGUGUCUAGUCCAGGGGUGUCUCUGUGUUACAGUGUGUCUAGUCCAGGUGUAUAUAGUCCAGGUGUGUCUAGUCCAGGUGUAUAUAGUCCAGGUG
rnacentral:lncRNA from 1 species